GCGGGUGUAGUUUAGUGGUAGAACCCCAGCUUCCCAAGCUGGUCGUGCGAGUUCGAUUCUCGUCAUCCGCUCCA
rnacentral:tRNA from 1 species